UACGAAGGGGGCUAGCGUUGCUCGGAAUCACUGGGCGUAAAGGGCGCGUAGGCGGCCAGCACAAGUCAGUUGUGAAAUCUCCGGGCUUAACUCGGAAAGGUCAACUGAUACUGUGCGGCUAGAGUGCAGAAGGGGCAACUGGAAUUCUCGGUGUAGCGGUGAAAUGCGUAGAUAUCGAGAGGAACACCUGCGGCGAAGGCGGGUUGCUGGGCUGACACUGACGCUGAUGCGCGAAAGCCAGGGGAGCGAACGGG
rnacentral:rRNA from 1 species